GACGAACGCUGGCGGCGUGCUUAACACAUGCAAGUGGAGCGACGAACCAGGGCUUGCCCUGGGGCAGAGCCGCGAACGGGUGAGUAACACGUGGGGAACCUACCCCGAAGACUGGGACAACCCGGGGAAACUCGGGCUAAUACCAGAUGUGGUCCCACUACAUAAGUGGUGUGACUAAAGGAAGCUUCGGCCUCCGCUUUGGGAGGGUCCCGCGGGGCAUUAGCUUGGUGGUGAGGUAACGGCUCACCAAGGCUUCGGUGCGUAGCUGGUCUGAGAGGACGAUCAGCCACACUGGGAGUGAGACACGGCCCAGACUCCUACGGGAGGCAGCAGUGGGGAAUCUUGCGCAAUGGGCGACAGCCUGACGCAGCAACGCCGCGUGGGGGAAGAAGGCCUUCGGGUUGUAAACCUCUUUCAGGAGGGGCGAAGCUUUGCCGGUGAAUAGCCGUGUGAAGUGACGGUACCUCCACAAGCAGCCCCGGCUAACUACGUGCCAGCCGCCGCUGUAAUAC
rnacentral:rRNA from 1 species